AUCCCGCCUGGGGAGUACGGUUGCAAGGCCGGAACUCAAAGGAAUUGACGGGGGCCCGCACAAGCGGUGGAGUAUGUGGUUUAAUUCGAUGCAACGCGAAGAACCUUACCUGGAUUUGACAUCCUCGGAAUCUUCUAGAGAUAGUUGAGUGCCCUUCGGGGAGCCGAGUGACAGGUGCUGCAUGGCUGUCGUCAGCUCGUGCCGUGAGGUGUUGGGUUAAGUCCCGCAACGAGCGCAACCCUUGUUGUUAGUUGCCAGCACAUGAUGGUGGGCACUCUAGCAAGACUGCCCGGGUCAACCGGGAGGAAGGUGGGGAUGACGUCAAAGUCAUCAUGGCCCUUACGUCCAGGGCUACACACGUACUACAAUGGCGACUACAGAGGGCCGCUACGCCGUGAGGCCACGCCAAUCCCAAAAAAGUCGUCUCAGUCCGGAUUGCAGUCUGCAACUCGACUGCAUGAAGCUGGAAUCGCUAGUAAUCGGGGAUCAGCAUGCCCCGGUGAAUACGUUCCCGGGCCUUGUACACACCGCCCGUCACACCACGAAAGCCGGGUUUACCCGACGUCGGUGAGCCAACCUUCGGGAGGCAGCCGCCUACGGUAGGACUGGUGAUUGGGGUGAAGUCGUAACAAGGUAGCCGUAGGGGAACCUGCGGCUGGAUCACCU
rnacentral:rRNA from 1 species